rnacentral:rRNA from 1 species
AUACGUAGGGGGCGAGCGUUGUCCGGAAUGAUUGGGCGUAAAGGGCGCGUAGGCGGCGCGGUAAGUCUGGAGUGAAAGUCCUGCUUUCAAGGUGGGAAUUGCUUUGGAUACUGCCGCGCUUGAGUGCAGGAGAGGUUAUCGGAAUUCCCGGUGUAGCGGUGAAAUGCGUAGAGAUCGGGAGGAACACCAGUGGCGAAGGUGGGUAUCUUGACUUAAACAGAAGCUUAGGCGCGAAAGUGUGGGGAGCAAACAGGAUUAGAUACCCUGGUAUUCCACCCUGUAAACGAUGAAUGCUAGGUGUAGGGGGUAUCGACCCCUUCUGUGCCGCAGUCAACACAAUAAGCAUUCCGCCUGGGGAGUACGGCCGCAAGGUUGAAACUCAAAUGAAUUGACGGGG